rnacentral:tRNA from 1 species
UAGCUCAGUCAGUUAGAGCGUGGUGCUGAUACCACCAAGGUCGCAGGUUUGAUCCCUGU